rnacentral:lncRNA from 1 species
GCCUGGCCUGGAGCAGGUUUUCUAACAAUUCCUCUGUUCCCUUCUCUUCCUCCCUUUCUCGCUCCUUCCACUCCAGUACUUCUAGCCACCUUUCUGCUUCUCUUUCUCCCCUCUUUGAUUCUUUCUUUCCCUUCAACCUCUGGCUCAAGCUGGCCAAGUUUCCAAGUCAGGGAAGAAAUUACUUGCAGAGGUGGUAGGUCUGAAGGACUGCAGCUACCGCAAACCUCAAAUGGAAUCCACUGCAGCCCUCUCCUGUGCCUUCCUACUUUGGGCCUCUAAGUCAUUCCUGCAUUUCUCAGCACUUUCUACUUAGGGCUGUCAUGAUCACUGAUUCUGAACAAAGUUUCUUUUGUAUUCUACAUCUGGCCCUUCACCCUUUCUGCAAGGAAAAACUGUCCAAGUCUUUCUGGAAAUGUAGCUAAGAUACUUGAAAUAAAAAUGCUCCAACUCAUUCAUUUGAGCCAAUUUUUUUUAAUAGGAAUGUGGUGACAUAAGACAUAAUAUUAACACAUGCCAACGAUAUUGAUGUUAGCUGAGAUUACUAGUUUACAAUAACGCUAUAUAUUAACACUAUUGACAGCACAAAGUGUUACUAUCUUAAUUUUAUGAGUUCUAUUAUCAUGUAAUCAAUGCAUAGCCUAAAAAUUAUACGGAGAACAUUGGUUUGGAGAGAAUAAAUCAGAAAGGCAGAGACGCUGUAAAGAGGAAAUCUAGUUAGGGGCUACUGGGAAAGUAUAGACACUAGAUGAUGAAGGUAUGAACCAAGCUUUAUAAUUUGGCAUUUGGAAUAAUUCCAAUGUCAACAAAAGCUGUAAGAUACUUUGGUAAGGGGGCUGGGUGCGGUGGCUCACGCCUGUAAUCCCAGCAUUUUGGGAGGCUGAGGUGGGUGGAUCACGAGGUCAGGAGAUCGAAACCAUCCUGGCUAUCACAGUGAAACCCCGUCUCUACUAAAAAUACAAAAAAUUAGGCGGGUGGGGUGGCACACACCUGUAGUCCCAGCUACUCAGGAGGCUGAGGCAGGCAGGAGAAUCGCUUGAACCAGGCAGGUGGAGGUUGCAGUAAGCCAAGAUCGUGCCACUGCACUCCAGCCUGGGCGACAGAGUAAGACUCUGUCUCAAAAAAAAAAAAACUCUGUCUCAAAAAAAAAAAAAGAUACUUUGGUAUUCAUAACCAAAUCACUAAGUAUUGCACCUGGGCUUGGUGCACACAGAUUCCCUGGUCUUGGAAGCACACAAUCCUAAUUUCCCCAGCCUACAUUCUCUCAUUAAGGCACGUUAUUUUGUUGUGGAUCUCAGCACACAGCUGCCAAAUAGAAUGCUUUUCCCCUAGUGUCCGCCCAAUUUCCUGCCUGCCUGGAGCCCGCAAGGUGCAUCUGGGCAGAGCCAAUGCAGGACACUUGGCUGGGACCUCUCUGGUCACAGGCUGUCACAGGGAGUGGUCACUUGCCAUGAGUAGUAUUCAAAACCAGCAACCAAGGUAUGGUCUGAGCUCCUUUAAGCUCCAGGGUUUGGGAGCUCCUGGUGAAUCCCCAGAGAAGAGUCCAGAAAGAAGAAUGGAAGGAGGGUGGUCUGCAAGGCAGAGUGCCCUCCUCUGCCUCACUGUCAGUCUUCUGCUUCAAGGUAAGAUGGGACGAGAACAGGGAAGACCAGAGUGUGGUUCCGAGGGACACCUGGACUCACCUCUAGCACUUGGAGGGCAUUCAGAAUUAACGUGUUAAAUAUUUCUUCCAUAAUGUCUGUGUCCUGAUUUCCUUUUGGUGACAGAUCACUUUUGGUGACAGACAGUUCACUGAUGAGUGCACACAGACUUUCUCUAUUCCUGCCUGCACGGGGAUCUAUCAAACUGUCUCAUUUCACCACUUCUCCAAUUCCACCUUUUCACUGGACAAUCUGAGGUGGAAAUGAGCAGAUAUUUUGCUUCCAUGAGGUAAUAUUUGUUCCCAAUCUGGACACAUACCUUAAAUAUUAUGGAAAGAGAUGGAGAUAGAGAGAAGGAGGCAGAGAAAAGGACCAUAUAAUGAUGGCGAUGGGGCAAAGAUGCCACUCAGGUACUACCCAGAUGAC